rnacentral:rRNA from 1 species
UGGAGCCGACCUUGAAAUACCACCCUUUAAUGUUUGAUGUUCUAACGUGGACCCGUUACCCGGGUUGCGGACAGUGUCUGGUGGGUAGUUUGACUGGGGCGGUCUCCUCCUAAAGAGUAACGGAGGAGCACGAAGGUUGGCUAAUCCUGGUCGGACAUCAGGAGGUUAGUGCAAUGGCAUAAGCCAGCUUGACUGCGAGCGUGACGGCGCGAGCAGGUGCGAAAGCAGGUCAUAGUGAUCCGGUGGUUCUGAAUGGAAGGGCCAUCGCUCAACGGAUAAAAGGUACUCCGGGGAUAACAGGCUGAUACCGCCCAAGAGUUCAUAUCGACGGCGGUGUUUGGCACCUCGAUGUCGGCUCAUCACAUCCUGGGGCUGAAGUAGGUCCCAAGGGUAUGGCUGUUCGCCAUUUAAAGUGGUACGCGAGCUGGGUUUAGAACGUCGUGAGACAGUUCGGUCCCUAUCUGCCGUGGGCGCUGGAGAACUGAGGGGGGCUGCUCCUAGUACGAGAGGACCGGAGUGGACGCAUCACUGGUGUUCGGGUUGUCAUGCCAAUGGCACUGCCCGGUAGCUAAAUGCGGAAGAGAUAAGUGCUGAAAGCAUCUAAGCACGAAACUUGCCCCGAGAUGAGUUCUCCCUGAGACUUAGAGUCUCCUGAAGGAACGUUGAAGACGACGACGUUGAUAGGCCGGGUGUGUAAGCGCAGCGAUGCGUUGAGCUAACCGGUACUAAUGAACCGUGAGGCUUAACCUUACAACGCCGAAG